GUGGGGAAUAUUGGACAAUGGGCGCAAGCCUGAUCCAGCCAUGCCGCGUGAGUGAUGAAGGCCCUAGGGUUGUAAAGCUCUUUCGCACGCGACGAUAAUGACGGUAGCGUGAGAAGAAGCCCCGGCUAACUUCGUGCCAGCAGCCGCGGUAAUACGAAGGGGGCUAGCGUUGUUCGGAAUCACUGGGCGUAAAGGGCGCGUAGGCGGCUGUUCAAGUCGGGGGUGAAAUCCCGUGGCUCAACCACGGAAUGGCCUUCGAUACUGGACGGCUAGAGACCGGAAGAGGUGAGUGGAACUGCGAGUGUAGAGGUGAAAUUCGUAGAUAUUCGCAAGAACACCAGUGGCGAAGGCGGCUCACUGGUCCGGUUCUGACGCUGAGGCGCGAAAGCGUGGGGAGCAAACAGGAUUAGAAACCCGAGUAGUCC
rnacentral:rRNA from 1 species